rnacentral:rRNA from 1 species
UACGUAGGGGGCAAGCGUUGUCCGGAAUCAUUGGGCGUAAAGCGCACGUAGGCGGCCCGGUAAGUCCGUUGUGAAAGUCAGAGGCUCAACCUCUGGAGGCCAAUGGAUACUGCCGGGCUAGAGUCCGGAAGAGGCGAGUGGAAUUCCUGGUGUAGCGGUGGAAUGCGCAGAUAUCAGGAGGAACACCGGUGGCGAAGGCGGGUCUCUGGGCCGAUAUCGACGCUGAGGAGCGAAAGCGUGGGGAGCGAACAGG